UUACGUCCAUAUCAUAUUGAAACAUUGGUUCCCAUACGAUCAUCAAAGUUAAGCCACUUUGAGCUUGAUCAGUACCUGGAUAGGUGAUCGUUUGGAAAU